GAUGAACGCUGGCGGCGUGCCUAAUACAUGCAAGUCGAGCGAACAGACGAGGAGCUUGCUCCUCUGACGUUAGCGGCGGACGGGUGAGUAACACGUGGAUACCCUCCCUAUAAGACUGGGAUAACUUCGGAAAACCGGAGCUAAUACCGUAUAAUAUAUUGAACCGCAUGGUUCAAUAGUGAAAGACGGUUUUGCGGUCACUUAUAGAUGGAUCCGCGCCGCAUUAGCUAGUUGGUAAGGUAACGGCUUACCAAGGCAACGAUGCGUAGCCGACCUGAGAGGGUGAUCGGCCACACUGGAACUGAGACACGGUCCAGACUCCUACGGGAGGCAGCAGUAGGGAAUCUUCCGCAAUGGGCGAAAGCCUGACGGAGCAACGCCGCGUGAGUGAUGAAGGUCUUCGGAUCGUAAAACUCUGUUAUUAGGGAAGAACAAAUGUGUAAGUAACUAUGCACGUCUUGACGGUACCUAAUCAGAAAGCCACGGCUAACUACGUG
rnacentral:rRNA from 1 species